rnacentral:rRNA from 1 species
AUUGAACGCUGGCGGCAGGCCUCACCCAUGCAAGUCGAACGAGUGGCGGACGGGUGCGUAAUUUCUUGGAAACUGCCCGCUGGAGGGGGGUAACUACUGGAAACGGUAGCUAAUACCACAUACCCUCGGCUGUGCCCAGAUGGGAUUAGCUAGUAGGUGGGGUACCGGCUCACCUAGGCGACUAUCCCUAGCUGGUCUGAGAGGAUGACCAGCCAAACUGGAAAUGAGACACGGUCCAGAAUCCUACGGGAGGAAGCAGUGGGGAAUAUUGCACAAGGGGCGCAAGACUGAUGCAGCCAUGCCGCGUGUAUGAAGAAGGCCUUCGGGUUGUAAAGUACUUUCAGCGAGGAGGCGUUACUCGCAGAAGAAGCACCGGCUAACUCCGUGCCAGCAGCCGCGGUAAUAC